rnacentral:misc_RNA from 2 species
AAUUAUUAUUUAGUAAUAAUUCGAUUAAUUUAUAACUGGGUUCUAACACGAUG